rnacentral:rRNA from 1 species
CACGUAGGGACCAAGCGUUGUCCGGAUUCAUUGGGCGUAAAGAGCUCGUAGGCGGUUCGGUAAGUCGGGUGUGAAACCUCCAGGCUCAACCUGGAGACGCCACCCGAUACUGCUGUGACUAGAGUCCAGUAGGGGAGCGUGGAAUUCCUGGUGUAGCGGUGAAAUGCGCAGAUAUCAGGAGGAACACCAGCGGCGAAAGGCGGCAUCCUGGACCGACAUUGACGCUGAGGAGCGAAAAGCUAGGGGGAGCAAAACGGG